GAUGAACGCUGGCGGCGUGCCUAACACAUGCAAGUCGAGCGAUUCUCUUCGGAGAAGAGCGGCGGACGGGUGAGUAACGCGUGGGUAACCCGCCCUGUACACACGGAUAACAUACCGAAAGGUAUGCUAAUACGAGAUAAUAUGCUUUUAUCGCAUGGUAGAAGUAUCAAAGUUUUUGCGGUACAGGAUGGACCCGCGUCUGAUUAGCUAGUUGGUAAGGUAACGGCUUACCAAGGCGACGAUCAGUAGCCGACCUGAGAGGGUGAUCGGCCACAUUGGGGCUGGGACACGGUCCAAACUCCUACGGGAGGCAGCAGUGGGGAAUAUUGCACAAUGGGCGAAAGCCUGAUGCAGCAACGCCGCGUGAGCGAUGAAGGCCUUCGGGUCGUAAAGCUCUGUCCUCAAGGAAGAUAAUGACGGUACUUGAGGAGGAAGCCCCGGCUAACUACGUGCCAGCCGCCGCGGUAA
rnacentral:rRNA from 1 species